rnacentral:lncRNA from 1 species
CCCCCCCCCGGCCCGGACCUCGCGGGACCCACAGAGACCCCCCGCAAAGGUCCAUCAGAGCAGCAGCGGAACCAGUUGGAGGAGCUGAGGAAAUUUGGGGCUCAGUUUAAGCUCCAGCCCAGCAGCGCCCCCCAGGACCCCCCCCCAGAGCCCCUCCCCCCACCCCGCAGCGGCCCCUCCCCCCCCGGAGCCCCCCCCGAGGCCCAAGGGGGGGGUGGGGGAGGGGCGGGGGGAGGGGCCGGGACCCCCCCGGGGACCCCCCAGGACAAGGACGAGCAGGUGAAGAAGUCGACGCUGAACCCCAACGCGAAGGAGUUCAACCCCUCGAAGCCCCUUUUGGGCGUGGGCAAAGCCGCUGCCCCCCCCUCGCCGGGGCCCCGCCUCCACCCCUCCCCCACGCUGGGGGUCAUGACCCCGCCGGGGGCGGGGCAAGGUGGGGGAGGGGCCGGAGGAGGAGGAGGAGGUGGGGGGGGAGGGGCGAGCAGCAUCUAUGCCCCUCCCCCUCCCUAUAUCUCCUAUAUACCCCAGCUCCAUGUGCAGGCCCCCCAAAUGUACCCGUACCCCGUGUCCACCCCCCCCCAAGGCAAAUACCGGGGAGGCAAAGGUUCCCUCCCCCCGCCGCCGCCGCGCUCGGAGCAGCCUCACGCCCCUCCCCCCCCAGCCCCUCCCCCGUCGGCAUCCGCCCCUCCUCCCCCUCCCCUGGUGCCUGUGGCCGCCCCUCCCCCCCCGCCCCCUCCCCCCCAUUACUCCCAGUACAUCUCGUACGGACCCCCCCAGGCCUUCGGGGGGGGGGCAGCCGCUCGUGCAGCCCCUCCCACACUACCCCUCGCAGGCUGUGUUCGCGCCGCUGCUCCCCGGCAGCCCCCGCCUGCACCCCUCCCCCACCCUGGUGUCCUCCGCCGCCCCUCCCCCGCCCCAGUUCCCUCCCGGCGACCAAUCAGGAGCCCCACAGACCCUGUACGCCGCUGUCCAUCAGCCCUUCCCCCCCCCGACGCCGGCCGGGAACCCGCCGCCCCCACCCCCCAGCCAG